rnacentral:rRNA from 1 species
GAUGAACGCUGGCGGCGUGCCUAAUACAUGCAAGUCGAGCGAACAGACGAGGAGCUUGCUCCUGUGACGUUAGCGGCGGACGGGUGAGUAACACGUGGAUAACCUACCUAUAAUACUGGGAUAACUUCGGGAAAGCGGAGCUAAUACCGGAUAAGAUCGUGAACCGCAUGGUUGAAUAGGAAAAGACGGUUUUGCUGUCAAUGAUAGAUGGAUCCGCGCCGCAUUAGCUAGUUGGUAAGGUAACGGCUUACCAAGGCAACGAGGCGUAGCCGACUUGCAGGAGGGGGAGCACACACGAGAACUGGAACACGCACCAUGCUACUCCGAGAGGCAAAAGAACGCAAUCUUCCGCAAUGAGCGGAAUCCUGACCGAGACCAGCCACGUGUGUUAUCGACGUCUUCGGAUCGUAAUCCUCUUCUAUUAGGGAAGACCAGAUGUGUAAGUAACUGACCACUUCUUGACGGUACUUAGUCAGAAAGCAACGGCUAACUACGUG